CUCCCACUACUCAUCACUAUUAUGAUUUUAACGCUCAUGCCUCCAUAACCUCUCCCCAUGAUCUCAAUUUUUAUUGUCAUGUUUAAGACAAUUAUUUGAUAACCUUCAUAUGCAAUAAUAUAAAUAGAGGUUUGAAAUAUGAGAUGAAAUACACUUGAACACUUGAUGAAAGAAGAAAAUUAUCUCUACUUUUUUUUAUUUUAUCUAUAUAUUUUUUUAACACGAAUGACUAUUUAACUUUCCAACAAAUUUGCAAUUAUUGAACUUCAGUAUUUGAAACGCUGGUGAAAUAUUGUAAACUCAUGGAGAAGUAAUUCUAAAUGAUAAAACAAUUUUCAUUGACAAGUACUUAACUCUUUUUUCAGAUACAAAUACAAACUUCCAAAAUUCUCUUUUUCAACUUCAAUUUCAAAUACUUUUUUUUCAACUACACGAACCAAAUACUGUACAAACACCUACUAAAGAUUCCAUCAUCAAACUGUAUCAUUUCCCACGCCUCUAAAAUACUCAUAAAAGAAACAGGACUUUGAAGAAAAGAAAAAACUAAUAAGAGUAUAUGUAUGAAAAUCAGCUAGUUGCUUUACCAACUUACUGAUCACUAGUAGUUAAAGUCAAAGGCAUGGUAUCUAAAGUAUCUUGCAUUAAUGCUGGGCCCGGAGAAGGCCGUACCACAAGGGGAUGUGAUUUAAGCAACCUACCCUGAUACAAACAUUAAUGAGUGAUUGCACGGUUCGAACCCGAGACCUAUAGAUCACAUGCAGAUAAUUUCAUCAUGGCUCCAAGGCUCCCCUUCACGUAGCUAAAUCAAUGGCUUAUAAACUACAGUACAAUAUAUAUAUANNNN
rnacentral:lncRNA from 1 species